rnacentral:rRNA from 1 species
AUGAACGCUGGCGGCGUGCCUAAUACAUGCAAGUCGAGCGAACAGACGAGGAGCUUGCUCCUCUGACGUUAGCGGCGGACGGGUGAGUAACACGUGGAUAACCUACCUAUAAGACUGGGAUAACUUCGGGAAACCGGAGCUUAUACCGGAUAAUAUAUUGAACCGCAUGGUUCAAUAGUGAAAGACGGUUUUGCUGUCACUUAUAGAUGGAUCCGCGCCGCAUUAGCUAGUUGGUAAGGUAACGGCUUACCAAGGCAACGAUGCGUAGCCGACCUGAGAGGGUGAUCGGCCACACUGGAACUGAGACACGGUCCAGACUCCUACGGGAGGCAGCAGUAGGGAAUCUUCCGCAAUGGGCGAAAGCCUGACGGAGCAACGCCGCGUGAGUGAUGAAGGUCUUCGGAUCGUAAAACUCUGUUAUUAGGGAAGAACAAAUGUGUAAGUAACUAUGCACGUCUUGACGGUACCUAAUCAGAAAGCCACGGCUAACUACGUG